rnacentral:rRNA from 1 species
GAACCAAUACACCAUCUGUUAACAGCAGGUGGUGUAAAAAAGGUGAUUCAUAGUAACCGAACGGAUCGCAUUAUGGUCAUUUUAUAUGGCUGGCGAUAGAUCAUUCAAGUUUCUGACCUAUCAGCUUUCGACGGUAGUGUAUUGGACUACCGUGGCAGUGACGGGUAACGGGGAAUUAGGGUUCGAUUSCGGAGAGGGAGCCUGAGAAACGGCUACCACAUCUAAGGAAGGCAGCAGGCGCGCAAAUUACCCAAUCCUGACUCAGGGAGGUAGUGACAAGAAAUAACAACAAUGGAAAUUUUAUUUCUAGUGAUUGGAAUGAUGGGAAUUUAAACCCCUUUCAGAGUAACAAUUGGAGGGCAAGUCUGGUGCCAGCAGCCGCGGUAAUUCCAGCUCCAAUAGCGUAUAUUAAAGUUGUUGCAGUUAAAAAGCUCGUAAUUGGAUGUCUGCUGGAAGCAAUCAGUCCGCCCUAUUUGUAGGGUGUGCACUUGAUGAAUUCUGGCAUCUAUAUCCCAAUAAUAUGAUGGUGUAUACCCUGUGUACACCCAUCUAUAUUGGGAUAAUACCGUUACUUUGAGAAAAUUAGAGUGUUUGAAGCAGGCUAAUUGCCUUGAAUACUGCAGCAUGGAAUAACAAUAUAGGAUUUCGGUUCUAUUUUGUUGGUUUCUAGGACUGAAAUAAUGAUUAAUAGGGACAGUUGGGGGCAUUCGUAUUUAACU